GACGAACGCUGGCGGCGUGCUUAACACAUGCAAGUCGAACGGAAAGGCCCUGCUUUUGUGGGGUGCUCGAGUGGCGAACGGGUGAGUAACACGUGAGUAACCUGCCCUUGACUUUGGGAUAACUUCAGGAAACUGGGGCUAAUACCGGAUAGGAGCUCCUGCUGCAUGGUGGGGGUUGGAAAGUUUCGGCGGUUGGGGAUGGACUCGCGGCUUAUCAGCUUGUUGGUGGGGUAGUGGCUUACCAAGGCUUUGACGGGUAGCCGGCCUGAGAGGGUGACCGGCCACAUUGGGACUGAGAUACGGCCCAGACUCCUACGGGAGGCAGCAGUGGGAAUAUUGCACAAUGGGCGGAAGCCUGAUGCAGCAACGCCGCGUGCGGGAUGACGGCCUUCGGGUUGUAAACCGCUUUCGCCUGUGACGAAGCGUGGGUGACGGUAAUGGGUAAAGAAGCACCGGCUAACUACGUG
rnacentral:rRNA from 1 species